rnacentral:rRNA from 1 species
CAAUAGCGUAUAUUUAAGUUGUUGCAGUUAAAAAGCUCGUAGUUGGAUUUCGGGUCAUCUGGGACGGUCCGCCAUUUUGGUGUGCACUGUCGCGGUUGGCCUUGUUUGUCGGUGAGGCGCUCCUGUCCUUUAUUGGGUGGGACGUCGAGUCGGCGAGGCUUCUUUGAAAAAAUUAGAGUGUUCAAAGCGGGCGAUCGCUUGAAUAUUACAGCAUGGUAAAGCGCGAUAGGACUCGGGUUCUAUUUCGCUGGUUUCUAGAACCGGAGUAAUGAUUAAGAGGAACAGUUGGGGGCAUUCGUAUUUCAUUGUCAGAGGUGAAAUUCUUGGAUUUAUGAAAGACGCACUUCUGCGAAAGCAUUUGCCAAGGAUGUUNUCAUUNA